AGGGCACUACCAGGAGUGGAUCCUGCGGCUCAAUUUGACUCAACACGGGAAAGCUCACCUGGUCCGGACACUGGAAGGAUUGACAGAUUAAGAGCUCUUUCUUGAUUCAGUGGGUGGUGGUGCAUGGCCGUUCUUAGUUGGUGGAGCGAUUUGUCUGGUUAAUUCCGAUAACGAACGAGACUCUAGCCUACUAAAUAGGUGUUCCGAUCCCAUCAGUCGGACGCUCUUCUUAGAGGGACAAGCGGCGUUUAGCCGCACGAGACAGAGCAAUAACAGGUCUGUGAUGCCCUUAGAUGUCCGGGGCCGCACGCGCGCUACACUGAAGGAACCAGCGUGUGUCCCUGUCCGGCAGGACUGGGUAAUCCGUUGAACCUCCUUCGUGAUAGGGAUAGGGGCUUGUAAUUGUUCCCCUUGAACGAGGAAUUCCCAGUAAGCGUGAAUCAUCAGUUCACGUUGAUUACGUCCCUGGCCUUUGUACACACCGCCCGUCACUACUACUGAUUGGAUGAUUAAGUGAGG
rnacentral:rRNA from 1 species